UUGCUGGGGUACACGACGUGGCGAACGGGUGACGUAACACGUGGGUGACCCUGCCCUGCACUUCGGGAUAAGCCUGGGAAACUGGGUCUAAUACCGGAUAGGACCCGCACCGUGAGGGUGUGGUGGAAACGUUUUUUCGGUGUGGGAUGGGCCCGCGGCCUAUCAGCUUGUUUGGUGGGGUAAUGGCCUACCAAGGCGGCGACGGGUAGCCGGCCUGAGAGGGUGGACGGCCACAUUGGGACUGAGACACGGCCCAGACUCCUACGGGCAGGCACAGUGGGGGAAUAUUGCACAAAUUGGGCGGAAGCCUUGAUGCAGCGACGCCGCGUGGGGGAUGACGGGCCUUCGGUUUGUAAACUCCUUUUCACCAUCGGACGAAGGGUUUUCUGACGGUAGAUGGAGAAGAAGCACCGGCUAACUACGUGCCAGCAUCCUCCGGUAAUACGUAGGGGUGCGAGCGUUGUCCGGAAUUACUGGGCGUAAAGAGCUCGUAGUGGUUUUCGCGUCGUCUGUGCAAAUUCCGGGGCUUAACUCCGGGCGUGCAGGCGAUACGGGCAUAACUUGAGUACUGUAGGGGAGACUGGAAUUCCUGGUGUAGCGGUGAAAUGCGCAGAUAUCAGGAGGAACACCGGUGGCGAAGGCGGGUCUCUGGGCAGUAACUGACGCUGAGGAGCGAAAGCAUGGGGAGCGAACAGGAUUAGAUACCUGGUAGUCCAUGCCGUAAACGGUGGGCGCUAGGUGUGGGUUUCCUUCCACGGGAUCCGUGCCGUAGCUAACGCAUUAAGCGCCCCGCCUGGGGAGUACGCCGCAAGGCUA
rnacentral:rRNA from 1 species